rnacentral:rRNA from 1 species
UGACCGUGCAAAGGUAGCAUAAUAAUUAGUUUUUUUAUUGGAAGCUGGAAUGAAUGAUUGGACGAGAAAGUUUCUGUCUCUAGAAAAAUUUUUAUUUAAUUUAACUUUUGAGUGAAAAGGCUUAAAUGUAUAUUAAAGACGAGAAGACCCUAUAGAGUUUAAUAUUAAUUGACUUUUAAAGUUUUUGGUGAUUGAAUUUUUAUUUGUUAUUUAUUGUUUAGUUGGGGUGACUAGAAGAUUAAUUAAACUCUUCUAAUCUUUAAUCAUUGAUUUAUGAUUUGAAAAUCUAGAGUUUUUUAAGUUUAAAAUAAAUUACCUUAGGGAUAACAGCGUAAUUCUUUUUUAGAGUUCUAAUCGUGAAGAGAGUUUGCGACCUCGAUGUUGGAUUAAAAUUAAUUAUUGGUGUAGGAGCUAAAUAAUUGGGUCUGUUCGACCUUUAAAAUUUUACGUGAU